GUUUCCUUCUUCGUGCCUUCAUCCACCCAGCUGCGCCGACCUUCCCGUUCUGUGAAUCGUGACAGUCCCUCUCGCUGGAAUCUGCUAGAGGCCAGAGGAGUUCGUCUCGUCCAAUCCAAGAGUCUCAGGAGGGGAACCAAUGAGCCACCAGGAGAAGGACCAUCCUGCCUGAGAAUCGCACGACGCACUGGGGAGAAACCACAGCCUGACUCACAGUCUAUCGUAAAACAUGUCCACACUUGGGAAAAGACAGGUGAGGCAGAAAGAAAAUCCUUUGCAACCCAUCCAUGCACUCCGGCUGCCCGCUGGGGUCUGCCUUGCCACCCACCAGGCCGAGCCGCCCAGCCAGCUAGAGGACGGAUGCUCCAGGCCCCAGCACAGCCCGAGCGCCACCACCCGCCGACCCCUGCACAAAAUGACAGGUCUGACUUGCCAACCACCUACAUGACUUACAGAGAAGAUCUGUGAGAAUCAGGACGAGGCAGGGAGGAAACCUCAGUCUGAACCUCCCGUGUACAGAAUGUACAAGGCAGAUUAACAGACCAGCCCGGAACAGAGUGAGAAGGCAAAAUAAGGCUGCCUGACUCCAUCGGGGCGCUGGCGGUGAUGGCUUUGUUCGGGUACCUGUCAUUUCGACAGUGGGGGAGAUUGGGGAGCAUGAAGACUAAGGGGGGGGGCUGCUGCGCAGAGGCUGGUCUUGGACCCCCGAGAGAAUUUCUUUCAAAUUCACCCCAAUGAAGCAAGGCCCCUCUUGGAAUUUCACGCUGGUGCCGCCUGCGCAGCCAGCGCGAUGGUUUGGGGAGCCCCUCGAGGGAGACUGUACCUCUUUCCCUCGGCCCCCCAGAGCCGUGUGCCGGGAGCCGGAGCGUCGAGCUUCCUGCCCACAUCUCUCCAAAGAGAGAUAUUUACAAAUGCACUGGACUGGUCUGAGUCACUCAAAAUGGGGCGUUU
rnacentral:lncRNA from 1 species